rnacentral:rRNA from 1 species
ACUCCUACGGGAGGCAGCAGUGGGGAAUAUUGCACAAUGGGCGCAAGCCUGAUGCAGCGACGCCGCGUGAGGGAUGACGGCCUUCGGGUUGUAAACCUCUUUCAGUAUGGAACAAGGAUCCUUCUUUUGGGGGGUUGAGGGUACGUGCAGAAG